rnacentral:lncRNA from 1 species
CUUCCAGGAAGGGGCUGGGAGAGGCCCCAGGAAUUGCAGAAGGCCCCAUCUCUCCUCUCCAAUAAAUCCACUGAGGCCAGCUGGUGUCUGUCCCAGGGAGCCAGGUCACAUCACCAGCCAGCAUGUGCCAGGAGCAGCUGUAGACUCGAGAGGGCAUCUGUGGCCACUCUCAUUUUUCCUAGUCCAUGGGGACGUUCUCUGUAUCUCCUCUCCAGCAUCCCAAGCGUGUCGCCGCAGCCAAAGCCAGUCGGCUCUUCUGAUUACUCCUACUCUGGCUGGUGCAGUGAGAACACCUUUCUCUGGAUGGGAGUCCCUGAUCGCGGCAGCAACAAGGCCAUCCUGCUGUAAGGGCGACGCAGAAGGGCGAGGCUGCAUUCGGGAUGAAGGUAGUGUCGCCCCCCAGGGCUCCAAGCGCCCAAGACUGACUCACGUUGCCACGCUCCUGUUUCUCCCGAUCACCCUAAGAAACAGAAGAGAGGGAGGAUGGAGAAAACCAUGGAAAAUGGGAGCUCAAAAGUUGUGUGCUGGCCACUGGAACAAUGGCAGGGAGAGCCAAGACUGCAAUGGGAAUAAAAGAAACAGGGAAACAGAAACACAUGAGUGACCACAAUAGCAAAGAGAGCCACAGAGGAAACGUUGAGAAGAAAGUGGAAUGUGUGAGAUACGUUGUAUGGAGAAUGCUGCACCAGAAAACAUCAAGACCCGUAGAAAUGUGAAGAAAAUAGAGAAGGAAGGAGAGUCUAGAGCAAUGUCGUGAGGCCAGUGUGACAGGAACCCUCCAAUGUCUAUGCUUCCUGGGAUUGCUUUGGAGAGGCUGUGUGCUGUGGCAAGAGCACGCGGAGAAGCUCAGCUGCUGAUACGUGACACCAUCUGAUGCUUUUGCCAAGGGCUGGGGUGAAGUACAGUGCUAACCACUGCCACCAUGUGAACCACAACAGCCCCCAGGAGCCGGUGACAGGAACCGCAGGGGGUGUCUGCUCCCCGUGCAUGAGCACAAUUUCCACCCAGACGAAAUACCACAACUGGGAACAGCCACGUCACCUUCCCAGGAACCUUCUCUCUCGUGCCUUCUUCCCAGCUUCACAGGUGCUCUGGGCUUCCUGCUAUCCAAGGCCACACACGAGAGACCUCUGCGGUGCAGAGCAGCUCUACAGAACAGGCUUGGAAGAGCAAGCCUGUCACCACAAUUUCUGUGCCCACUACAGGUACAACUACAGGAACCCAAAGAACAAACUCUGAGGUGUCCUAAGGACUCCACUCUGGGGCCUCUCCUGGGCAGUGCCUGGUCGCUCUGCUCCCUGGGAGGCACUUUGCGUCUCAGACUUUUCUGUCUUUUCUUCAACAUUUCACUUUCCAGAAAACCUUUCCCUGAGACCCUGUUCUACUUUUUCAACAUGGCAGCAGGUUACCUGAGAAAUGAAUCACUGCCAGGGUGAGAAUGACCAUGAAAAUGCUCAGUGUUAGGUAGAGGCAUUGUGUUUUCAUAGGAGACUUCUG